CGUGUAGGCGGCCUCCUAAGUCUGGUGUGAAAGCCCGGGGCUUACCCCCGGAAGUGCACUGGAUACUGGGAGACUAGAGUACCGGAGAGGAGGGUGGAAUUCCUGGUGUAGCGGUGAAAUGCGUAGAUAUCAGGAAGAACACCGGUGGCGAAGGCGGCCCUCUGGACGGAUACUGACGCUGAGACGCGAAAGCGUGGGGAGCAAACAGGAUUAGAUACCCUGGUAGUCCACGCUGUAAACGAUGGGCACUAGGUGCUCGGGGUAUUGACCCCCUGGGUGCCGUAGCUAACGCAUUAAGUGCCCCGCCUGGGGACUACGGCCGCAAGGCUAAA
rnacentral:rRNA from 1 species